rnacentral:rRNA from 1 species
GAUGAACGCUAGCGGCAGGCUUAACACAUGCAAGUCGAGGGGUAGAGGAAGCUUGCUUCCUUGAGACCGGCGCACGGGUGCGUAACGCGUAUGCAACCUACCUUUUACAGAGGGAUAGCCCAGAGAAAUUUGGAUUAAUACCUCAUGGUAUAUAUCAUUCGCAUGUUUGAUAUAUUAAAGUUCCAACGGUAAAAGAUGGGCAUGCGUCCUAUUAGCUAGAUGGUAAGGUAACGGCUUACCAGGGCAACGAUAGGUAGGGGUCCUGAGAGGGAGAUCCCCCACACUGGUACUGAGACACGGACCAGACUCCUACGGGAGGAAGCAGCGAGGAAUAUUGGACAAUGGGCGCAAGCCUGAUCCAGCCAUGCCGCGUGCAGGAAGAAGCAUCUAUGGUGUGUAAACUGCUUUUGUACGGGAAGAAACACUCCUUCGUGAAGGAGCUUGACGGUACCGUAAGAAUAAGGAUCGGCUAACUCCGUGCCAGCAGCCGCCGCAGUAA